AGUUAUCGUUUAUUUGAUAGUACCUUACUACUUGGAUAACCGUGGUAAUUCUAGAGCUAAUMCAUGCUAAAAAUCCCGACUUCGGAAGGGAUGUAUUUUUAGAUUAAAAACCAAUGCCCUCUGGGCUCCUUGGUGAUUCAUAAUAACUUUUCGAAUCGCAUGGCCUUGCGCCGGCGAUGGUUCAUUCAAAUUUCUUCCCUAUCAACUUUCGAUGUUUGGGUAUUGGCCAAACAUGGUCGCAACGGGUAACGGAGGGUUAGGGCUCGACCCCGGAGAAGGAGCCUGAGAAACGGCUACUACAUCCAAGGAAGGCAGCAGGCGCGCAAAUUACCCAAUCCCGAUUCGGGGAGGUAGUGACAAUAAAUACUGAUACAGGGCUCUUUUGGGUCUUGUAAUUGGAAUGAGUACAAUUUAAAUCUCUUAACGAGGAACAAUUGGAGGGCAAGUCUGGUGCCAGCAGCCGCGGUAAUUCCAGCUCCAAUAGCGUAUAUUAAAGUUGUUGUGGUUAAAAAGCUCGUAGUUGAACCUUGGGCCUGGCUGGCCGGUCCGCCUCACCGCGUGUACUGGUCCGGCCGGGCCUUUCCCUCUGUGGAACCUCAUGCCCUUCACUGGGUGUGGCGGGGAAACAGGACUUUUACUUUGAAAAAAUUAGAGUGCUCCAGGCAGGCCUAUGCUCGAAUACAUUAGCAUGGAAUAAUAAAAUAGGACGUGUGGUUCUAUUUUGUUGGUUUCUAGGACCGCCGUAAUGAUUAAUAGGGACAGUCGGGGGCAUCAGUAUUCAAUUGUCAGAGGUGAAAUUCUUGGAUUUAUUGAAGACUAACUACUGCGAAAGCAUUUGCCAAGGAUGUUUUCAUUAAUCAGGAACGAAAGUUAGGGGAUCGAAGACGAUCAGAUACCGUCGUAGUCUUAACCAUAAACUAUGCCGACUAGGGAUCGGACGAUGU
rnacentral:rRNA from 2 species